ACGAACGCUGGCGGCAUGCCUAACACAUGCAAGUCGAACGAGACCUUCGGGUCUAGUGGCGCACGGGUGCGUAACGCGUGGGAAUCUGCCCUUGGGUUCGGAAUAACUCGCCGAAAGGCGUGCUAAUACCGGAUGAUGACGUAAGUCCAAAGAUUUAUCGCCCAAGGAUGAGCCCGCGUUGGAUUAGCUAGUUGGUGAGGUAAAGGCUCACCAAGGCGACGAUCCAUAGCUGGUCUGAGAGGAUGAUCAGCCACACUGGGACCGAGACACGGCCCAGACUCCUACGGGAGGCAGCAGUGGGGAAUAUUGGACAAUGGGCGAAAGCCUGAUCCAGCAAUGCCGCGUGAGUGAUGAAGGCCUUAGGGUUGUAAAGCUCUUUUACCCGGGAUGAUAAUGACCGUACCGGGAGAAUAAGCUCCGGCUAACUCCGUG
rnacentral:rRNA from 1 species